rnacentral:rRNA from 1 species
GAGGGGUAACGGCCUAUCAAGGCGACGACGGGUAGCCGGCCUGAGAGGGCGACCGGCCACACUGGGACUGAGACACGGCCCAGACUCCUACGGGAGGCAGCAGUGGGGAAUAUUGCGCAAUGGGGGAAACCCUGACGCAGCGACGCCGCGUGCGGGAUGAAGGCCUUCGGGUUGUAAACCGCUUUCACCAGGGACGAAGCGAGAGUGACGGUACCUGGGGAAGAAGCGCCGGCUAACUACGUGCCAGCAGCCGCGGUAAUACGUAGGGCGCAAGCGUUGUCCGGAAUUAUUGGGCGUAAAGAGCUCGUAGGCGGCCUGUCGCGUCUGCUGUGAAAUCCCAGGGCUUAACCCUGGGCCUGCAGUGGAUACGGGCUGGCUAGAGGCAGGCAGGGGAGAACGGAAUUCCCGGUGUAGCGGUGAAAUGCGCAGAUAUCGGGAGGAACACCGGUGGCGAAGGCGGUUCUCUGGGCCUGUUCUGACGCUGAGGAGCGAAAGCGUGGGGAGCAAACACGAUUAGAUACCCUGGUAGUCCACGCCGUAAACGUUGGGCGCUAGGUGUGGGUCCCUUCCACGGGGUCUGUGCUGCGGCUAGCGCAUUAAGCG